rnacentral:rRNA from 1 species
GACAGAGGUGCCGAGCGUUAUGCGGAAUCACUGGGCUUAAAGCGUGUGUAGGCGGAUUCCUAAGUACCUUGUGAAAUCCCAUGGCUCAACCAUGGAACUGCUUGGUAUACUGGGUGUCUUGAGCCAGCUAGGGGCUACCGGAACAAAUGGUGGAGCGGUGAAAUGCGUAGAUAUCAUUUGGAACGCCAAUGGUGAAAACAGGUAGCUGGGGCUGUGCUGACGCUGAGACACGAAAGCCAGGGGAGCGAACGGG